GAGUUUGAUCGUGGCUCAGAACGAACGCUGGCGGCGUGGAUAAGACAUGCAAGUCGAACGGGACCGGACGGUAGCAAUAUCGAACGGUCGAGUGGCGAACGGGUGCGUAACACGUGGGUCACCAUUCCGGGAAGUGAGGAAUAGCCCAGGGAAACUUGGAUUAAUACCUCAUGUGGUCGCAAGACUAAAGGCGCAAGCCGCUUCCUGAUUGGCCCGCGGCCUAUCAGCUAGUUGGUGGGGUAAUGGCUCACCAAGGCUACGACGGGUAGCUGGUCUAAGAGGACGACCAGCCACACUGGAACUGAGACACGGUCCAGACACCUACGGGUGGCAGCAGUCGAGAAUCUUUCACAAUGGGGGAAACCCUGAUGGAGCGACGCCGCGUGGAGGAUUAAGGUCUUCGGAUUGUAAACUCCUGUCAUGCGAGAGCAAAGCCGCAAGGCCUGGAUAGUAUCGCAAGAGGAAGAGACGGCUAACUCUGUGCCAGCAGCCGCCGU
rnacentral:rRNA from 1 species